UCAGCCACACCCCUAACCCCCAUCUCCAUGCUAUUGCCGCUUCCAACUCGCCCAAACUCGCCGGAAUCGGGCGAGUUCACCCUCAACGAGUCCCAUGGUCCCCCCCUCUCUUCUCUCCUUCUUCCACGUCACUCAUUUCGUACAAAUCUCAUCAUUUCAAUCCGACUCACACAAAUUUCUUCUUUUAUUUUCCUUUUGUUUAAACACAAAUCCGAGGCCCUUGAAUAAAUUUGGGAGAAAUGGGAACCGUUGGAUGAAGAUUUUUGUCCUAAGUCUCCAUUUUUCCGAUUUUUGUUUGUGAAAGGGGGAUUUUCAGAUUUGAUUUUGGGUCCCACAUGAUUUCUUGCUGAGGAAUAAGAAGCUUCGAGAGAAGGAUAUAUAUUUGGAGCCUUUAGACAGAGAAAAGGGGAGGAGGGGAGAUUGAGAAAAAGCACUUGAAGAAAUUAGGGUUCUAGGGUUCUUGAGGCUUUCUUCUGAUUCUUCCAUUUUUAUUUUUUUAUUUUUCGCUUCCAGAAAAUCAAAAAAAAAUAAAACAAAAAAAAUAAAUUAUUUUCAGUUUCUGUUUUCAUUUUCCGUCAUGGGAUUCGAUUGAAGCGUUAUUGAGUGCUGAAGAUUUGUUCGCCAGUCUAGGUGUUCGUGUCCGCGUUCCCUGAGCUGGCUUCCUCCUCUGUUGCUUCAUUGUUGACUCUGGAUUUUCAGUAGGUGUUUUCGUUCUCAAGUUCGUUACCAAAUCCUCUUCUGUUGUAAUCGAUUCCUUCAUAAUUAAUCGAAAGCUUAAUUUCCAGAAGGUUUAGUGAGGUUUGGAAUGAAAAAGGGGUGACAGGGUAAAAGUCAAUUGGAGUCAAAUGGGAUUACAAAACCAAACUCAAUGAGAAUGGUGAAGUUGACAAGUACAUGGCGCGUUUGGUGGCCAAAGAAUAUAAGAGUAUGGUGUGGAGUACAAGGAGGUCUCCAGUAGUUAGACUUGAUACCAUUAGGUUGGUGGUAGCAUUGGCAGCCCAAAACAACUGGCCAAUUUAUCAACUAGAAGUGAAAUCGACCUUCUUACAUGGCGAAUUAAAAGAGCGGGUAUAUCUAAUAGAUCAACCCUCUGGAUAUGUGAAGCAAGGCAGGGAACAUAAGGUUUAUAGAUUGAAAAAGGCAUUGUAUGGGCUAAAACAAGCUCCACAAGCUUGGUAUAGUCGCAUUGAUGAUUAUUUCAAUAUGGCAGGUUUUAGAAAAUGCCUAUAUGAGCAUACGCUCUAUUCAAAAAUUGAAGAUGGAAAGCUUGUCAUUGUAUGCUUAUAUGUAGAUGAUUUGAUCUAUACUGGAAAAUCCUAUAUUGCUUAAAAAUUUUAAGCAAUCGAUGUUGACUGAGUUUGGUAUGUCGGAUCUUUGCUUGAUGUGUUAUUUUCUGGGCAUUAAAGUGAAGCAAUCUUCUAUCUGGAAUUUUCAUUUCUGGGCAUCAAAAUCUUCAUUUUGAUGAGGUUUGAAAUGCCAAAGUGCAAUUCUGCAGGGACGGGGCUGAAGUUGGAAAAAGAUCUUACAGGGAAGAAGAUUGACAGCACCUUCGACAAGAAGAUAGUGGGGAGUUUGAUGUAUUUAUUAGACCUGAUAUAAUGUACUCUGUAAGCUGAUACAUAGAAUAUCCUAAAGAGAGAGACUCACUUGUUGGCAUUCUCAACGUACUAUUGAUUUUGUCAUUUUGUACAAGAAAGAAGGAAAAUCAGAUUUAAUCGACUCUACAGAGCGAUUUUGCUGGAGAUAGGAAAGCACAUUAAGUUAUGUCUUUAUGUUUGGAUCAGGUGCAAACACAUGGAUAUUUUCUAACUCUAGCUAGUAUGAAGCUCCGAGUGAUUGUGUGCAUGAACCACACUCCUGUACAAGCUAAGUACCAUUAGAUUCAGUCCGAUUGUAUUUCUUUCAAUGGAUCCACCGAGUUAUAUCUA